GUGGCUCAGUGGUAGAGCACUUGCCUUGCAUGCAUGAGGUCCUGGGUUCAAUUCUUCAGC
rnacentral:tRNA from 1 species